GUGCCAGCCGCCGCGGUACUACCGGCAGCACGAGUGAUGGCCGAUUUUAUUGGGCCUAAAGCGUCCGUAGCUUGCUGUGUAAGUCCAUUGGGAAAUCCACGCGCUCAACGCGUGGGCGUCCGGUGGAAACUGCACGGCUUGGGGCCGAGAGACUCGACGGGUACGUCCGGGGUAGGAGUGAAAUCCUAUAAUCCUGGACGGACCACCAAUGGGGAAACCACGUCGAGAGACCGGACCCGACAGUGAGGGACGAAGGCUAGGGUCUCGAACCGGAUUAGAAACCCUUGUAGUCC
rnacentral:rRNA from 1 species